rnacentral:rRNA from 1 species
UAUUUAUUAGAUAAAAAACCAACGCCCUUCGGGGCUCCUUGGUGAAUCAUAAUAACUUAACGAAUCGCAUGGCCUUGCGCCGGCGAUGGUUCAUUCAAAUUUCUGCCCUAUCAACUUUCGAUGGUAGGAUAGUGGCCUACCAUGGUGGCAACGGGUAACGGGGAAUUAGGGUUCGAUUCCGGAGAGGGAGCCUGAGAAACGGCUACCACAUCCAAGGAAGGCAGCAGGCGCGCAAAUUACCCAAUCCCGAUACGGGGAGGUAGUGACAAUAAAUACUGAUACGGGGCUCUUUUGGGUCUCGUAAUUGGAAUGAGAACAAUUUAAAUCCCUUAACGAGGAACAAUUGGAGGGCAAGUCUGGUGCCAGCAGCCGCGGUAAUUCCAGCUCCAAUAGCGUAUAUUAAAGUUGUUGCAGUUAAAAAGCUCGUAGUUGAACCUUGGGUCUGGCUGGCCGGUCCGCCUCACCGCGAGUACUGGUCCGGCUGGACCUUUCCUUCUGGGGAACCUCAUGGCCUUCACUGGCUGUGGGGGGAACCAGGACUUUUACUGUGAAAAAAUUAGAGUGUUCAAAGCAGGC